rnacentral:rRNA from 1 species
AUUGAACGCUGGCGGCAGGCCUAUCACAUGCAAGUCGAACGAGUGGCGGACGUGUGAGUAAUGUCUGUGAAACUGCCCGAUGGAGGGGGAUAACUACUGGAACCGGUAGCUAAUACCGCAUACCAUCUGAUGUUCCCAGAUGGGAUUAGCUAGUAGGUGGGGUAACGGCUCACCUCGGCGACGAUCCCUAGCUGGUCUGAGAGGAUGACCAGCCACACUGGAACUGAUACCCGGGCCAGACUCCUACGGAAGGCAGAAGUGGGGAAUUUUGCACAAUGGGCGAAAGCCUGAUGCAGCCAUGCCGCGGGUAUGAAGAAGGCCUUGGGGUUUUAAAGUACUUUCAGAGAGGAGGCGUUACUCGCAGAAGAAGCACCGGCUAACUCCGUGCCAGCAGCCGCGGUAAUAC